rnacentral:rRNA from 1 species
GACGAACGCUGGCGGCGUGCUUAACACAUGCAAGUCGAACGGUGAAGCUCCAGCUUGCUGGAGUGGAUCAGUGGCGAACGGGUGAGUAACACGUGAGCAACCUGCCCCUGACUCUGGAAUAAGCGCUGGAAACGGCGUCUAAUACUGGAUACGAGAAGGGUCCGCAUGGGCACUUUCUGGAAAGUUUUUCGGUUGGGGAUGGGCUCGCGGCCUAUCAGCUUGUUGGUGAGGUAAUGGCUCACCAAGGCGACGACGGGUAGCCGGCCUGAGAGGGCGACCGGGCCCCAUGGGACUGAGGCACGGGCCAGAGUCCUACGGGGGGCAAGAGGGGGGAAUAUUGCCCAAUGGGCCAAAGCCUGAUGCAAGGGCCCCGGGGUGGGGAAGACCGCCUUUGGGGUUUAAAACCUUUUCCGCAAGGAAGGAGCGGAAGUGACGGUACCCUGAGAAGAAGCACCGGCUAACUACGUG